UUCUUCUUUUUUUCCUUCUUUUUUUCCUUUUUCUUCUUCUUGGACUUCUUCUUUUGGAGAGAAUCAUCGUCGUCGCUACCGUCGUCGGGAGGAGGAGGAGGGGCUCCGUAUUUGGAGAGGAAGGCUAGUUUGGAGGACGACAUGAAUGGUUUUUUAUUAUU
rnacentral:ribozyme from 13 species